rnacentral:ncRNA from 1 species
UUUUAUCACCGGGGGUGCUUUGCAGCGAUUCGUGUUGCAAGGCUGAGAAAAACCCUUAAAACCUGCUCUGGUUAAUACCUGCGGAGGGAGUGUGAUGGUUAGAGAUA